rnacentral:tRNA from 1 species
GGUUGUGGCUCAGUGGCAGAGUGCUUGCCUAGCAUGCAUGUGGCAUUGGGUUCGAUUCUCAGUACCA